UCGCUUCAGCAGCACAUAAACUAAAAUUGGAACGAUACAGAGAAGAUUAGCAUGGCCCCUGCACAAGGAAGACAGGCAAAUUCAUGAAGUGUUCCAUAUGUUU